rnacentral:rRNA from 2 species
AAAAAAGGACUCAAGAGAAGGGGAACCCUUAAUGUGGAAGCGUAAGGAGCCGACGUAUCCGCUGCGUAUUUAGCCAUUGUCGAGCGCAAUUUGUUCGUUUUUGGAGUUCUGCAAAAGUCUCCGGCGAACAAUUGUUGUGAUCGGUGAAUGGUGCACUUGCGCAGAGAGUGCGCGGAAUCGGCUGGACUCGGCGUUCGAAAUCCGGCCAAGAGGACCAGUCCGCAAGGCCCGGAAACCUGGGCAUCGGAUGGGCGACGAAUGAGUCUGGCUGCAUUGCAAUUAGGGCCGGUUGAAUUCGAAAUGUGUGGGAAAGUCUCGACGUUGUUUGGGAUGCGGCGCACGCGUUUCAUCCCACAACGCGCCUCUUUUUCCGGGCGUUUCUCAGCCGGUAUUCGGUGUCUAGUCGGUCACCCAUUUGACCCGUCUUGAAACACGGACCAAGGAGUUUAAGGUGUGCGCAAGUCAUUGAGCGGAAAACUCAAAGGCGAAAUGAAAGUGGGACACUUGGUGUCUGUGAUGCGAUCCGUGUGUGAUUCGUUGUGUGCGGAGCAGCAUCGACCCAUGACCAGGACUUGUUCUGUUGUGGAGUCUGAGCGUACGCUUUGAGACCCGAAAGAUGGUGAACUAUGCCUGAACAGGACGAAGUCAGAGGAAACUCUGAUGGAAGUCCGAAGCGGUUCUGACGUGCGAAUCGAUCGUCUGAUUUGGGUAUAGGGGGGCAAGACUAAUCGAACCUUC